UACGGGGGGAGCAAGCGUUGUUCGGAUUUACUGGGCGUAAAGGGCGCGUAGGCGGCCACCGCAAGUCAGUUGUGAAAUCUCUGGGCUUAACCCAGAACGGUCAGCUGAUACUGCGGGGCUAGAGUGCAGAAGGGGCAACUGGAAUUCUCGGUGUAGCGGUGAAAUGCGUAGAUAUCGAGAGGAACACCGGUGACGAAGGCGGCGACCUGGACGAUGACUGACGCUGAGACGCGAAAGCGUGGGGAGCAAACAGG
rnacentral:rRNA from 1 species